rnacentral:lncRNA from 1 species
CCCCCCUCUUAGGUUGUAUAACUGGCAACAUGUGUUUAUGCCUAUUGAUCUCAAGAUGGAUUGUGAUGCACAAUCACAAAGGGUGUUCAUGGAUGGUGCUAAAAAAUGAUUGGUCAUAGAAGGGUGCCGAUAAAAUGCCAUGUCAUAAGGAAGGACAAGAGAGACACGCAUAAUCAUGGAGCACCUAAUAGAUCUAGGCAUUCAUGCUCCCUGACCUAGGAAGGC